rnacentral:rRNA from 1 species
AAAUGAAUUGACGGGGGCCCGCACAAGCAGUGGAGUAUGUGGUUUAAUUCGAGGCAACGCGAAGAACCUUACCAGGAUUUGACAUCUCCUGCCAAGCAUAGAGAUAUGCCCUUCCCUUCGGGGACAGGAAGACAGGUGGUGCAUGGUUGUCGUCAGCUCGUGUCGUGAGAUGUUGGGUUAAGUCCCGCAACGAGCGCAACCCCUAUUGCCAGUUACUAUCAUUAAGUUGGGGACUCUGGCGAGACUGCCGUGGAUAACACGGAGGAAGGUGGGGAUGACGUCAAAUCAUCAUGCCCCUUAUGUUCUGGGCUACACACGUACUACAAUGGCAACAACAACGAGCAGCAAGUCCGCGAGGCCAAGCGAAUCUCUUAAAUGUUGCCCCAGUUCGGAUUGCAGGCUGCAACUCGCCUGCAUGAAGUAGGAAUUGCUAGUAAUGGCAGGUCAGCAUACUGCCGUGAAUACGUUCCCGGGCCUUGUACACACCGCCCGU